rnacentral:rRNA from 1 species
AUUGAACGCUGGCGGCAGGCCUAACACAUGCAAGUCGAACGAGUGGCGGACGGGUGAGUAAUGUCUGGGAAACUGCCCGCUGGAGGGGGAUAACUACUGGAAACGGUAGCUAAUACCGCAUACCAUCGGAUGUUCCCCGAUGGGAUUAGCUAGUAGGUGGGGUAACGGCUCACCUAGGCGACGAUCCCUAGCUGGUCUGAGAGGAUGACCAGCCACACUGGAACUGGAACACGGUCAAGACUCCUACGGGAGGAAGAAGUGGGGAAUAUUGCACAAGGGGCGAAAGCCUGAGGAAGCCAGGCCGGGUGUAUGAAGAAGGCCUUCGGGUGGUAAAGUACGUUCAGCGAGGAGGCGUUACUCGCAGAAGAAGCACCGGCUAACUCCGUGCCAGCAGCCGCGGUAAUAC